GCUGGGCGCAGUGGUGCGUGCCUGUAAUCCCAGCUACUCGGGAGGCUGAGGCUGGAGGAUCUCUUGAGUCCAGGAGUUCUGGGCUGUGGUGCACUAUGCCAAUUGGGUGUCCGCACUAAGUUCAGCAUCAAUAUGGUGACCUCCCGGGAACAGGGGACCACCAGGUUGCCUGAGGAGGGGUGAACCAGCCCAGGUUGGAAACGGAGCAGGUCAAAACUCCCAUGCUGAUCAGUAGUGGGAUCGUGCCUGUGAAUAGCCACUGCACUCCAGCCUGGGCAACAUAGCGAGACCCCGUCUCU
rnacentral:SRP_RNA from 1 species